UUCUCGUGCGCGAUAGUUUGUGCCCAGUUUUUGGCAAUUGUUACUUAACGUUCUUGUAUUUGCAAGGAAGGGGAAACUAAGAGCGCAAAGUGGCAUUUCAUUUAGAGGUAUCGGUUGCCGGCGCCGAAAGAUCGUUCAGCGCUUUAUCAAGGAUCAAAGACUACCAUCGUUCUUAUUCAACUCAGAGUCGAGUAACAGGAUUGGCAACUUUGUAUUUGGAAUCUGAGUUAGCAAGGAAACUCGACUUCGAUGAUAUUAUAAGAGCUUUUGCCUCAACUAAAGCAAGAAAAGCAAAAUUCUAAGCAUCGUGGCAGUCAUUUUCAAAUAUUUAUCUGCUGAAGAGUUCUCUAAAAUUCAUUUUAAUCAAUAUUUCAUAAUUAAUUAUAUCAAAAAUUUUAUCAAUGAGUGUUUCAAUGCUUAAAUGUUAUAUCACUAUAACAUAAUACGCAUUUUGAUAAAUAAAAAAAAUUUUAAGGGGCCCGCAUCUCAAGUUUCCCCCGGGGCCCGAAUACUCUCUC